rnacentral:rRNA from 1 species
ACGGAGGGGGCCAGCGUUGUUCGGAAUCAUUGGGCGUAAAGGGCGCGUAGGCGGCCGAUCAAGUCGGAGGUGAAAUCCCUCGGCUCAACUGAGGAACUGCCUCCGAUACUGUUCGGCUUGAGAGCGGGAGAGGAUGGUGGAAUUCCCAGUGUAGAGGUGAAAUUCGUAGAUAUUGGGAAGAGCACCGGUGGCGAAGGCGACCACCUGGCCAAAUACUGACGCUGAGGUGCGAAAGCGUGGGGAGCAAACA